rnacentral:lncRNA from 1 species
UACAAAUGUAACCAGAUGCUCCGCAGGACGCAGCUUUAUACGACCGCAGAGGUUGAACCCUGAAUGGUUGGGGCAAGUAUGGACACAACAUUCAAGCUGGAUUCAGCUCUAAAUUUGGAUUGUGAUGAAAUAGUUGACACAGCAUAGGUUUCUGACACAGAAUGAAUGUGGUCUAAUGAACUUAAACUAUUUUUUUUUGCCUUUGAGCAAUUCACUAUGCUGUUGAAAAUUAAUCCUCUCAAAAAAAUGUUUGUAGAAAUUUUCUUUUUAUUUAUGAAA